rnacentral:lncRNA from 1 species
UAAUUAUUCACUGUCUUAUGUUGACAGCAUGGAACAAAAGGCAAAAUCAUGACUCAUGAAACUAUAAGGUGAAUAUAUGUCAAAUCUUUUAUUUAACUCAUUAAUUAAUAAGAGAUUCAGUAAAAUCUUAGGACCAGCUCAAAGGAAACAUUUAAAGAACAUAGGCUUCCAUUAAGUGGAAAUAAGUUUGUUAAUAUAUGCAAAAUUAGUUAAUAACCUAUAAAGUAAUAAAAUGUCAGUUUUCUAGAAAAGGAAAACCAAUUAUAUCUCAAUUUAUCAGAUGUAAUUUAUUUGCAUUUCUAUGAACAAUAAUUAUUCUCAUGACAAUCAGUCUUGUGCAAGUUAACUUCUACUUUUACAUUAGUCUAGAUAAUAGAAAAUCGGUUAAAGUUAUUCAUCCCUAUUGAAUUAGAUAAUCCCCAGAUAGUCUAUCAGACAGCUUCUACCACUUUGUUGAAAUGAUGCCCAGUAAUUUCAUUUGCUGAUUUCCAAAUCUUAGACAUUUUUCUUGACACACCCAAAUAUAUUGCAUCAGACAACCAGUCUCUAAAGUUAAAAAAAAAUCACAGUUUCUAUGUAUUUUUUCAUUACACAAAAAACCAAACAGAUUCUUGAAGUCCUACUCUGAAUCAUAUAAAGUUAAUCUGUGAGCACCCAAAAAAAACAGACUAUCCUCAGUAUGCUCGCCAUUUCACUGAGAAUUUCAUUGAUGAGCCUUGUUUUCUCCACAGAUACUACAUCUGCCCAUGCUACUAAGUCUCAGAUCAAUUCUGAGAAAGACAAAGAGCUGUAUUGAUCUAACAAACACAUAUUAUUGCCACACAUUUCUUACCAGGUCUUUCCUGAUGCUUAUAACAUUCCCCCAACACUGUCCCUCAAUCACUCACUGAUUCCAGCACAGUUCAUGCAGCUGGUGGCAGACUUGGUUCUCUCUCAUUAGCUUCCAAUAUCUCCCACUCUCCACAUUCUCACCAUUAUGAGAAUACCUUACCCCUACUUAAGAAGAAAUAUUGAGACCAUCUGGCAUGAUAUCCCGCCUUUAUUCCCAUCUUUCACUCAGAGCACUGCUCAUAGAAUCCUACCAAAAAGGAAAAGCUUUCCUUUCACUUUCAAGUAGACCCUUACACUCUAUCUGCUCCCAUCUCCUUGAAUGUAGCCCAUGUUUAGCCCCUCUGUCUUAAGUAACUUUCAUUUUUCUUUUCCAGUGAUGUUUUCCUUGUUACCCUUGAACAUGUUCAGGUUUCUCUCAUGCUCGACAUUUUUACCUAGAUUAGCUACCCUUCUCACUGUGAUACAGGGUCAUAUACCUGCCAGACUCCUGGAUCAUGAGUAUCCUAAUUUGCUGCUUCCACAAGGGAGAAGAUGCUGUUUAUGAACCAGAAAGUGGGACCUCAUCAAACACCAAAUCUACUGGCAACUUCCUCUUGGACUUCCCAGCCUCCAGAACUGUGAACUGUGAGAAAUAAAUGUCUGUUGUUAAUAAGCCACAGUGUUAUACUAUUCUAUGGUGUUUUGUUAUAGAAGCUGAAAUGAACUAAGGCAGUGUUAACACAUCUUUCCAAAUCCCAUGGGAGAGAAGAAUGUCUUUUAAUUCCCUAUACACAUUUUUACUAAAUCUCAUUUUCCAUUAUUUCCUCAGCUCUAAAUCUAUCACCAAAUUCUUUUAUUAAGUUUAUAUUUACUAUUUUUUAUAUCUAUUAUUGUAUAUACAUAUGUUAUUUCCCAUCUAGAUUAUAAGCCACCUAAACAAAAGGACUGUUUCUCUUAUCUUUUCUUGGACCUUUGGAACAAUUACUGAAUAAUAAAAGAUAAUAAUACUAAUAAUACAUUGCGAAGCCUUACCUUUUUCAAGUGACAUUAACAUUUAUUUUUAAAUUUAAUUUCAUAACUGACACUCAGAGAAGUCAAAGAGGCAUUGCUAUAGGAUUCACAGCCUAUAAGGGACAGAAACGGAACCAGGAAUUGUUUCUAGGAUACUUCUUCAUUACAGUAUUGAUUAAGUGGCUGGUCAACAAAAUGAUAUAAAGUGGGGAAAAAAGUAACCCAUAUUUAC